UUUAAAUUAAUCACAUUAAAAUAUUUGACACAAUAAACACACAUGCCCUGCUCAAACAGAUUAAAAUGACAGCACAGGCUCGUGUGCACUUGUUACUUGUGUUUCUUGGAGUUUUGUCACCCUCUGGUGGCGCUUGGGUGCGACUGAUUUUAUGGGUUCAGCACCAUAAGAAUUGUGUAAUUCUCCAUCGACAAUGGCGUGCUACUAGUUUAUUUUUUUGAUUUAAUAAAAUUGGUAAAAUUUUCAAACGAAAACAUUAAGAGGGGUUUUAAUAUAAAAUUUCUAUAACUUGUACUAACAUUUAUCUUUUAAGAACUACAAGUCUUUCUAUCCAUGAAUCGCUUUAACACGAUGUUAAUGCCAUCUUGAUUUAUUGUUAUAAUAAACAAAUACAGUACUUAGGUACAGAAUGUCUAAUGUAUAUAUCCGUCUUGUGUCCUAUCUUUCCAUUCCGACAAUAAUUUCCAGAAAAAUAUGGCAUAUUUCAUAGAUGGUUUUAUUAAUUACGAUUAAUUUUUAAGCUGUGAUUAACUUGAUUAAAAUUGUAAUCGUUUGACAGCCCUUUUUUUAAUGUAUUUUUUGUUUGCUCUAUUUUUGUUUAAAUAUUCGUAUAUAUAAUCAUCAAAUUAUUUUUAAUCAAGAACACAUCAAGAGCAAAGUAGAAAAAUACUUGUCUUUAUUAAAUUAAUUAGUGAAUCCACUCAAAUACGCUCAAGCUGCUCGCUUACAAUGACUUGCCAAAGCAACUGUUUAACAAGUUAAACGACAAUUGACUAAUGUGGCGCUCUGAAGUUUCCGCUUCCCGGCAUCCCUGGCAAGAUCAAACCUUAACGACUGUCAAUCAUCGUUAACUUUAAUAAGCCACUCCAGUGCACUGCCUGACCAAAAUAAGGAGCCGGAGGGAGAGUGAGACUAUGUGAUCGGAUCGGGACAGCUCAUCGGUUGACUCCAUGACGUAGGUGGGCUUUUUCAUCAGAUAAGUUGGCUCUGUUGACAACGAGUGGACAGCUGCCAAAUAAGCGCUACCUGUGCCAAGAGUCACAUUUUGGAACAAUUAGGCCUACAGCAAUGAAAGGUGUACGAUGGCAGCGAACGCAGUACAGCAAUACCGCGCUUGCUGUCUGCUGCCACGUCAGAUGUGGUAUUUGUGAAGUGACACACUUCUCACAGGCACCUUGUCAUGUGUAUGUAUGUACAUGUUAGUUUUUUUUCUUUUUUUAACCUAUCCUGUACUGCUGCUUGGGUGCGUGGGAAUUUGAGUGCCCUUAGCCGAACAGUUUUAAUGUGCCACGUAGGAGUUGGAUAUAGGCACGCAUCUUCCCCCACAGCUCCGGCAAAUGGGCCGCCUCCAUCCCACCAGACCCGCUAGUUGUCCGUGGAGGUCCCGCUGCAGUACCCCCACAACCAAUUAGGCCCGAGGCAGGAGUUGAACCCAGGGGCUCACAUACACACAUGCAGUGCUGGCCGAAAGUAUUGGCAACUAAUCCCUGCAAUUCUGUCUGAUAAUCCUCGAUUUUCCCCCAGAAAAUGCGAUU